AGAUGUUCCCCGUCUCUUUAUUUGCAACUUGCCUAUUUAUCUAGGUCUCCAAUACAGGUAUUGUGUGCAAAACUGAUUGUGCUCUCACCUCACGCAUUGAAAACUAUAUGAACCUAAGGCAGCUAAAAAAAACUUAUCUGAAUCUCUAAAUUUUAUUGCCUUUGUUUUAAUCGACCUCUUUUAAUCAGCUUACACCCGCUUUAAUCAUCUUUCGGCCACUUAGAUUAACAUUGUUUAGCAUGUAUGCUGAACUUUAUUUUCAAGCAUGUUGCACUGUUUUUUUUUCCCUCUUUCAGAACUUUCUUUACAGUCUUGCUUGGUUAAAAAAAUUUGUAC
rnacentral:lncRNA from 1 species